GGCAAGAGCGAAGUCAUGUUCUUUGGGAACUGGGCUGAUUGAUUCUUUAUCCCCUUCACCAACAGGAAAGACUACCUGAAAGAUAUGUGAUCAGAGAAAGAAUGAAAAUGAGAAAAUGAACAUGGGACAAGAGGCAAAAAUGAAGGUUAAAGUGGAGUCCUUACAGUUGGUUGGUCAUUUUCAUAAACCUCCCGGACCUCUUCUUUGGAACAGGUUUCUUCACAGCACUCCCUUUCCAGAUUCCCUU